rnacentral:lncRNA from 1 species
CCCGCCGCGACCGCAACGGCGCGCGCCGCUACUCGGAGGAGAACGAGCCGGACGAGCCGCCGCCUCCCUACGUGCCCAUCUUCACCACCCGGUCGUCCGGCGACUGGGGCAAGCUGCCCACGUACCAGGAGGCGACGACCGGCCCGGCCGGCACGAAGAACGAUGCAUUUGAGAUGGAAGAGGGCACAGCGGCGGGUACGGGGGAAACGUCGUCAACUCACGGGGCAGCGGCUGGGCCAGGGGCGGCGGCCGAGUCAGGAGCGGCGGUCGAGCCAGGGGCGAUGGCGACGGCUAGAAACUUCCAACCACAAACACAGCACUCCCUGACCCCACCUGCGCCGCACCCUGAGCGCCGGAACUCCUGAGCUUGGGAGCGAGCGACCUCUGGCGAGGGACAGCGUGCAGUCUGAGCGCUCAGGAGAGUCCCUCCUCGCCCGCCCCGGGAUCGUGCCGGCGGUCAGGCGCGGCGGCAGCGCCUCGUGUCCGGACGGAUGUCUCAGACCUCCGCUCCCGGUCCCCUCGCCGCCAGAUGAACUUCAGCGCGCGCGGCCGGUGCACCAGAUCCCGACCAGACUGCUCAACGAGCAUCAUCACGUGACGGGUGGUCGUGUCGUGGGUCACGAUGCUGUUGGUGCGGUUGACUGGUGUUCGUGGCUUGGUUUUGGAUGUGCAAUGUCUUGCUGUAUAACAAUCGCAGGGGGCUUUACCUGGAUGUAGGUAUUGUGUAUGUGUUGUGAUUGGUGUAGGCGAUGCUGCUGCCUGUUUUAUCAAUGGUCUGAUAAGCUCAAGGGGUCAGACGAGUUCGUGGCAGCUUUUGCUACCACAAGGUACUAUACGCUAUGACCGCUGAUGCGUCCAAAGCCACGUAUUCCUGAGGGAAUGAACACUGGACAAGGAACCACUGUAAACUCAAUGUGUCACGAUUUCAUUUGUGCGAUCACACCAUGUGGCAAGAUCAUGCCCGGCCCGACAUUUUGUUCCAUUCUAAAUACAAACGUGACGCACAA